UAGCUGCCAGAACACCCGAGGCCGGGGUGGGGGAGUGGGGCUCCAUCCCCCUUCCGGGCUGCGGGGUCAUGGGCCCGAGUCGCCCAUGCCGAGUCAGACUCAUGUGUGCGAGACCUGUGACUCAGACCGGCGGUGGCGGCGGCGGCGACUCGAGGCCCAGGAAACGGGGAGGGCUUGCCCACCCGCGCUCGGGAGGCUGGUGUGAAGAAGGGCUGCAUCCGUGUUGUUAUGGUGUUGUUGGUGCUCCUUUUGUCUGUGCUGAGAUUGUCUUUUCCAGAAACAGAGCAGGGAGAGAGCUGUGUGUGUAGGAGAAGGUGCCGGACAGGAGGAGGUGCUCCGAAAGUGGAGGGAGACAGCCGGUGCCAGGCCUCAGCUGCAGGGAGUGCUGGCACAUAUGUUUGUGAAGAACGAGAAUGAAGGAUUUCUGCAGAACCCCCUUGCAGUGGCUAAAGUGCUCUCUAUGCUUCAGGAACCCCCUAAACCUACCUACAGGGCAGGAAGAAGUUUUCAUUUCUCCAUGACCUUGAUGACAGUACCCAGUACAUAGCUUGGCCCCCAGCUGGUGCUCAACAGAGCCUUCAAGGUGUGCAUGACUGGGUGAUUCUGAAGCAUGCUCAAAUUUGAGAACUACCACAACCCACUGAUCUGGCCUCUACCAUCUCUCUGACCACCUCCUACCCUCUGCACCAAUUGCUCCAUUCCAGCCAGACAGGCCUGCUUGCUAAUCCUCAAACACUACAGACAUACUUCUGUCCUAGGACCUUUGCCCUUGGCUGUCCUCUCUGCCUGAUGUCUGCUUGGCUCACUCCCUUGUCUCCUUCAAGUCUUGGUUCAAAUAUCAUCUUCUCAGUGAAGUCUUCCCUUCCUACCUGUUUUAGUUAUCUACUGCUGCUACAAAGAAAUACCACAAGUGAAUGGCUUUGACAAGCGGAAAUUUAUUUUCUCACAGUUUAGGAGGCCAGAAGUCCGAAUUCACAGCACAGGCUUGAGAUCCCCAUGGGUCUUGGCAUCUAUUUUACCCUAUCUCUCCUCUGCUCACUUGUUUAAUCUUUUAUCUCUCAAAAGAGAUUUACUCAAAACACACCCUACAUUAAUCCUGCUUCGUUAACAUAACAAAGACAACCCAUUCCCAGAUGGGAUUAUAACCACAGGCAGAGAGGUUAGGAUUUACAACACAUUUUUUGGAGGACAUAAUUCAAACCAUAACACCAUUCUACUUAAAAUUUCAACUCAGUGACCCUAUGGAUUUCCUAGGCUAUUAUCUUUAUGGAGGAGCCCUGGUGGUGCAGUGGCUGUCCUACAGGAUCAUUAUGAGUCAGAAUUGACUCCAUAGCAAUGGGUUUGGUAGUCUUUAUACAGGUGCCCUAGUGGUGCAGUGGUUAAGCACUUCGCUGCUAACCAAAAGGCCAGUGGUUCAAACCCACUAGCUGCUCUGUGGGAGAAAGAUGCUGUAGUCAGCUUCUGUAAACCAUAUGGGACAAUUCUACUCUGUCGUUUAGUGUUGCUUUGAGCUGGAAUUGACUUGAAGGCAACGAGUUUUUAAAAAAUCUUUAUAAAGAUGUCACUUUGAGGCCUGACCCAAUAUGCGCCUGACCCAAGCCAUGGCAUUUUCAAUCACCUCAUAUGCAUGGGAAAGCUGAACAAUGAAUGAGGAAGAUCAAAGAAGAAUUGAUGCCUUUGAAUUAGGAUGCUGGCAAAGAAUAUUGAAUAUACCAUGGACUGCCAGAAGAAUGAACAAGUCAGUCUUGGAAGAAGUACAGCCAGAAUGGUCCUUAGAAGUGAGGAUGGUGAGACUUCAUCUUAUGUACUUUGGACACGUUAUCAGGAGGGACCAGUCCCUGGAGAAGGACAUCACGCUUGGCAGAAGAUCAGGAAAAAAGAACAAGACCCUCAACCAGAUGGACUGACACAGUGGCUACAACAAUGGGCUCAAACAUAGCAACAACUGGGAGGAUGGUGUAGGACCAGGCAGUGUUUUGUUCUGUUGUACGUGGGGUUGCUAUGAGUUGGAAUUGACUUGACGGAACCUAACAACAACAACGUGGGAGCAGAUUUCCAGGUCUUUUGUCCUGCAGAGCAGCUAGUGAGUUCAAACUGCCAACCUUUAGGUUAACAGCCUAGUGCUUAACCCUUGUGCCACCAGGGCUCCUUAUUUUUCGUUAUGACAUUGAUUAUCUUCUAAUAUUUCAUACAAUUGACUUAUUUAUGAUGUAGCUUGCUUAUAGGUUAGCUUUUCUCACUAGAAUGCUGACUCUAUUUGGGCAGGGAUUUUUGCCUCUUGUGUUUGCUGGUACACCUGAGUGUCUAUGAAGUUGUCUGAUCCACAGUGGACACUCAGUAAGUGUGUGUUGAAUGAAUAAAUGAAAAUCCACAUAGCCCCAAAGAGCAAUUGUGAAGUGCUGUUGAGACGAUUCUGACUCAUAGUGAUCCUAUGUGACAGAGUAAAACUGUCCCAUAGGGUUUUUGAGGCUGUAAUCUUUUUUUUUUUUCUUUCUGUCUUUAAUUAGUUAGAAUUUUUCUAGGCGGUAAUCUUCAUGGGAGCAGAUCGCCAUGUCUUUCUCCCAAGAAGCUGCUGAGUGGAUUGGAACUGCCAACCUUUCAGUUAGUAGCCAGGCACCAGGGCCCUUCCAAAGAGCAGUAGCUACCAUUCAUUGAAUGUAUAUUCCUUUUUGACUUCUCUUUAAAAAUUAGCUCUAAUUCUCUCAAAAUCCCUGCAAGAUACGAAAAAAAUCUCCAUUUUAUGGACAGGGAACUGGACUCAGAGAAGUCAAGCAUUUUGCCAAAAGUUUCUCAGCUAAAGAGGUUUGUGUUUGGAGUCUUUCUGAUUGUGAGGCCUCUAUACUUUCCCCAAUACCUGGCAGCAACUCGUCUCCCUAAAUGGCCACUAAAGCCCCCCAGCAGGAGGCGACACACAGCCUCAAAUGCAAUCCAGCCUUGGAGAAACACACAGUAAAAUGUAACACAGGACCCAGCAGGCCGGGGACCAAUCCAUCUGUGGAUAAAAGCUCAAAGAAACAGCCAGAAUUCUUUGUUACCCAGGGCUGGGCAGGGAACGUCUGGCUCCUUGGAGUUGGCUGGUGGCGAGGAGGGGCCUUGGGAGCAGGGUGGGCUGGCAUGGCAAGCAGGAUGGCAUCCAGCUUUCUCUAGAUCCCCAUGCAGCCCUUUAGAGAAUGUGCCCUUCACCCAGUCUCUAAGCAACCGCCUUCUGCAGCAGGCAGAAAACUCGGGAACCGAUCCAUUAAUGAUACGUUAGGAAACCCUUACUGAAAAUAAUUACACCCUCCUCGGAGCGCAACGUGUCAAAACAUGCUAGUUGGAUUCGUAGGUUCAGGCAGAGCCAAGGCCACCCCUUUCCACCCACUCCUCCUCUGCGCAACCUGCCACGUCUUCCAGGGCAGACCCUCUCCCUCCCUUAAUGAAAUUGGUAAAAUUGUGGGGGGGUACCCACAAAAUCCAUACUGCAUCUCUUUUCUGCACCACAUUACUCAGCUAACAACAGGCUCAGGGGAUGAACACCAUCUUUUCAGAACAAAACUGCAGACAUGCAGUUGUUAGGCACCAUGGAGUCGAUUUUGACUCAUAGUGACCUCUUAUGACAGAGUAGAACUGCCUCAUAGGGUUUUCUAGGCUGUAAUCUUUGCCAGAGAAGAGCAACAGGUCGUUUCUCCUGGGAAGCCGAUGGGUGGAUUCAACCACCGACCUUUCUGUUAGCAGCUGAGUACUUAAUCUUUGCGCCACCAGGGCUCCUUCCAGACACGCGGUAGAUGGUUUGAAACCAGAGCUGCCCUGGGAGACCCAGGAUGGAUGUCAGCAGAGCUAUGGGAACUUGAGGCUAAUUCCAGCAGUGGGGGUUCAGGAGCCUAUGGGGGCUGAGGGAGUGGGGAGGGGCUGUGAGGCUACCCUGCCAAGAAGAGGCCAAAACCCAUUGCCAUCAAAUUCUUUCUGACUCAUAGCGACCCUAUAGGACAGAGUAGAACUGCCCCAUAGGGUUUCCAAGGAUGGAUUCGAACUGACCGUUGGUUAGCAGCCAAUCUCUUAACCACUGUGUCACCAGAGCUCUGAGAGAAGGGGCCAGAAACAGUUAAAGGGGGGCAGAAAAGCCAUCACUCACUCCUGUCAACAACCCACCACAUCACCUGGGUUUCCUGCCCUUUCUUCGAGACUCCAGCAAAAUUGCUUUUGAGAGCUUUUGCCAGAUCCCUCGGGAUCAUACCCUUUUAAAAAAAAAAAAUUUCUUUACUAAUUUUUAGAAUGUCAAAAUAAUACAUGUUUACUGGAAAACAUUAAAACAACACAAAAGUGUCUAAACGAAAAAACGAUUGUACCACCCCCAGUCACCUCCUUCUUUAAAUCCCGCUCUCUUGGAGUUAACAAUUCAGGGCAUGGGUUCUCUGUAUCUCUCUCAUUGUGUUUUUAUUCAUUAUUGUUUAGAUUUGAUUUGUUUUGUUUCCACAAAUAUGAGCUCAUCUCACAUGUACGGAGGAGCCCUGGUGGUGCAGUGGUUAAGCACUCAGCUGCUGACCAAAAUGUCAGCAGUCUGAACCCACCAGCGGCUCCGAGGGAGAAAGACGUGGCAGCCUGCUUCUGUAAAGAUUGCAGCCUUGGAAGCCCUAUGGGGUAGUUCUACUCUGUCUUAUAGGGUUGCUAUGAGUUAGAAUUGACUCAGUGGCAAUGAGCUCACACCAAUUCCCCCAUGAUCUGCUUUCUCACUCAACAGCAUAAUAGCAUGGACGGACUGCAUGAGGUCAGAGUGUGGUGAUGUGUCAGAAUUUAUUGGAGCAACCUGCUACCGAUAGGUGGUCAGGCUGUCUCUAAUUUUUUUGCUGGUUCAGACAAAGCUGCAUGAACAUCUUUUCCAGAACUGUCCUCCUGAGUUUGUGCAAGUGUUUUUGUGCAAUAUUUUCCUGGACAUGAAAUUGCUGUGUUGAAAGUUAUGUGUAUUUAAACACUUGAGAAAACAUUUGAUAGCUAUUGCUAAAUUAAUCCCCCCAAAAGGCUGCACGUUUACUUUCAAACCUACAGUGCAAGAGAGUUGUUUUCCUAUAUCCUUCCCAACACUGUAUAUUAUCAACCUUUUUGUUUGAAAAUAUAAUAUCUCAUAGUUGUCCAUUUGUAUUUCCCCUGAUUACUGGAGAAAACAAACAUCUUUUAAUAAAUAAAUGUAUUGCGCAUUUUACUUUCUUCUGAGAAUCACUUCUCCUCCGUUGCCUGGUUUUUUGGGUUUUUAUCUUUUUCUAAUGUGUAGAUUCAGGAUAGGAGCCAUGGUGGCACAAUGAUUAAGCACUCAGCUGCUAGCCAAAACGUUGGCUGUUCGAAUCUACCAGCUACUUCAAGGGAGAAGAGACCUGGGAAUUGCUCCCAUAAAGGUUACAGUCUUGGAAACCCUAUGGGGGCCGUUCUACUCUGUCCUAUGGUGUUGCUGAGUCAGAAUCAACUGGAUGGCACACAAGGACAACAGAUUCAGGAUACUAAUUCUUUAUAUUUUACAUAUGAUGCAAAUAUUCUCUCCUGGUGUGUCAUUAGUUUUUUUUUUUUUUUUUUAAAUAAUUUUUCUUGUGCUUUAAGUGAAAGUUUACAAAUCAAGUCAGUUUCUCACAUAUAAACUUAUAUACACCUUACUACAUACUCUCAUUUACUCUUCCCCUAAUAAGUCAGCCCCCUCCCUCCUUCUAGUCUUUCCUUUCGUGACUGUUUCACCAGUUUCUACCCUCUCUACCCUCCCAUCUCCCCUCUAGACAGGAGAUGCCAACACAGUCCCAAGGGUCCACCUGAUACAAGUAGCUCACUCCUCAUCAGCAUCCCUCUCCAACCCACUGUCCAGUUCCUUCCAUGUCUGAUGAGUUGUCUUCGGGAAUGGUUCCUAUCCUGGGCCAAGAGAAGGUUUGGGGACCAUGACUGCCGGGAUUCUUCUAGUCUCAGUCAGACCGUUAAGUCUGGUCUUUUUAUGAGAAUUUGGGGUCUGCAUCCCAUUGUUCUCCUGCUCCCUCAGGGGUUCUCUGUUGUGCUCCCUAGCAGGGCAGUCAUCGGUUGUGGCUGGACACCAUCUAGUUCUUCUGGUCUCAGAUGAUGUUAGUCUCUAGUUCAUUUGGCCCUUUCCGUCUCUUGGGCUCAUAAUUAUCUUGUGACCUUGGUGUUCUUCAUUCUCUCUCUUUUUUUUUUUCUUAAUAAUUUUUAUUGAGCUUUAAGUGAACAUUUACAAAUCAAGUCAGUCUGUCACAUAUAAACUUAUAUGCACCUUACUCCAUACUCCCACUUACUCUCCCCCUAAUGAGUCAGCCCUUCCGGUCUCUCCUUUCGUGACAAUUUUGCCAGUUUCUAACCCUCUCUACCCUCCUAUCCCCUCUCCAGACAGGAGAUGCCAACACAGUCUCAAGUGUCCACCUGAUACAAGUAGCUCACUCUUCAUCAACAUCUCUCUCCAACCCAUUGUCCAGUCCCUUCCAUGUCUGAUGAGUUGUCUUUGGGAAUGGUUCCUGUCCUGGGCCAACAGAA